AGCAGCUUGCAGAUAACGCUGCUUACUGGCCUCGUGGAAUCAGUCUGCAACCCUUGGGGCGGCCCGGCUUGGACCCCAGUGCCUUUGCUCCGUUCAUCUCCGGCUCCUCCCUCCAUCCCCCACCUGUUGCUCUCUGCUUAUUCAAACCUUGCAAACCUUUCAAGGCUCUGCUUAAGUACCACCUAUUCCCUGAAUCGCGGGAUAAGAAAAUUAGACCGAUUGACUUCAAGUUCUAAACCUUCCUUAGCCACCUCAUCCAGGCCACGGCCUUUGGAGUGGGUUGAACAGUGCCCUCCACCCCCACAAAAGAUAUGUCCACCUAGAACCUGCCAAUGCGAUAUUAUUUGGAAAAAGAGUCUUUGCAGCUGUAGUUAAGGAUCUGGAGAUGAAAUCCAGUCAGACUUUCCAACCGGGCCCUAAAUCUAAUGAUGAGCAUCCUUAUAGGAAGAGGACAGGGCACACAAGAAGAAGGUAGUGAUGUGAAGACCCAGGUGGAGAUGGGAGUGAUGCAUUUACUAGCCAAAGAACACCAAGGAUUGCCAGCAGCCACCAGGAGCUAGAAAAAAGGCAUGGAAUGGAUUGACCCUCAGUGCUUUCAGAAGGAACCAAUCCUGCUGACACCUUGAUUUAGGACUUCUGGCCACCAGACUGUGAGAGAAUAAUUUUCUGUUGUAAGCCACCCAGUUUGUGGUAAUGUGUUGCAGCAGCCCUAAGAAAUGAAUAAAGUCAACCCUGUCUCUACUAAAAGUACAAAAAUUAGCCGGGCAUGGUGGCGCACAUCUGUAAUCCCAGCUACUCUGGAGACUGAGGAACAAGAAUCGCUUGAACCCGGGAGGCGGAGGUUGCAGUGAAUCGAGAUCAUGCCACUGCACUCCAGCCUGGGUGAUAGAGUGAGAUUCUCUCUCUCUCUCUAAAUAAAUAAAUAAAUAAAAGUCUUCUUGCCCCC
rnacentral:lncRNA from 1 species